AUUGAACGCUGGCGGCAGGCCUAACACAUGCAAGUCGAGCGAGCGGCGGACGGGUGAGUAAUGUCUGGGAAACUGCCUGUUGGAGGGGGAUAACUACUGGAAACGGUAGCUAAUACCGCAUACCAUCAGAUGUGCCCAGAUGGGCUUAGCUAGUUGGUGGGGUAAUGGCUCACCUAGGCGACGAUCUGUAGCGGGUCUGAGAGGAUGAUCCGCCACACUGGGACUGAGACACGGCCCAGAAUCCUACGGGAAGCAGCAGUGGGGAAUGUUGGGCAAUGGGGGGAACCCUGAUCCAGCCAUGCCGCGUGUAUGAAGAAGGCCUUAUGGUUGUAAAGCACUUUAAGCGAGGAAGCGUUACUCACAGAAUAAGCACCGGCUAACUCAGUGCCAGCAGCCGCGGUAAUAC
rnacentral:rRNA from 1 species